rnacentral:rRNA from 1 species
GCAGUCGAGCGAACAGAUAAGGAGCUUGCUCCUUUGACGUUAGCGGCGGACGGGUGAGUAACACGUGGAUAACCUACCUAUAAGACUGGGAUAACUUCGGGAAACCGGAGCUAAUACCGGAUAACAUAUUGAACCGCAUGGUUCAAUAGUGAAAGGCGGCUUUGCUGUCACUUAUAGAUGGAUCCGCGCCGUAUUAGCUAGUUGGUAAGGUAACGGCUUACCAAGGCAACGAUACGUAGCCGACCUGAGAGGGUGAUCGGCCACACUGGAACUGAGACACGGUCCAGACUCCUACGGGAGGCAGCAGUAGGGAAUCUUCCGCAAUGGGCGAAAGCCUGACGGAGCAACGCCGCGUGAGUGAUGAAGGUCUUCGGAUCGUAAAACUCUGUUAUCAGGGAAGAACAAAUGUGUAAGUAACUGUGCACAUCUUGACGGUACCUGAUCAGAAAGCCACGGCUAACUACGUGCCAGCAGCCGCGGUAAUACGUAGGUGGCAAGCGUUAUCCGGAAUUAUUGGGCGUAAAGCGCGCGUAGGCGGUUUUUUAAGUCUGAUGUGAAAGCCCACGGCUCAACCGUGGAGGGUCAUUGGAAACUGGAAAACUUGAGUGCAGAAGAGGAAAGUGGAAUUCCAUGUGUAGCGGUGAAAUGCGCAGAGAUAUGGAGGAACACCAGUGGCGAAGGCGACUUUCUGGUCUGUAACUGACGCUGAUGUGCGAAAGCGUGGGGAUCAAACAGGAUUAGAUACCCUGGUAGUCCACGCCGUAAACGAUGAGUGCUAAGUGUUAUGGGGUUUCCGCCCCUUAGUGCUGCAGCUAACGCAUUAAGCACUCCGCCUGGGGAGUACGACCGCAAGGUUGAAACUCAAGGAAUUGACGGGGACCCGCACAAGCGGUGGAGCAUG